GCCAGAAAAGGCAGCACACCCCCCUCUCUGGCAAACAGAGGAGAGGCUCAUGUGCUGCUGCUCCAUCCUGGAUUCAGCUCAACUCCACAAGCGAGAAGACAAGGACUUAUAAGGGGAUGUCGUCCACAAACUGCCCCCAUUUGAGCUUGGAAGUGAAGGUGCACUCGCUCAGCUGCUAUUUCAUUGUUAGGAUUGUCCAACAUCCAGAUGGAAAUUCAUAAGCGGCUUCAGUAAGUUCCGUCCCCUGUAAGCUGAUGUUUCCAGUUAGAUGACUAUUAUUUGUACCGCAUACACGUAUUUUACCGUUUUAAGAAAUUAAACGACUCAUCCGACAGGACACUAGUUUAAAGAACACGUUUCUUUCUCUGGAAACAAAAGUAGUUUUCAACGAAUUGUUUUUCUCUUUUGCCUUUCCCCCCACCGAGCAACGCACAUAUACGGUGCCUUUACAAAGCUGAUGUUUGAUGCUGUCGGGACGGGGAGCAAAAUCCCAUCCAUCCCACUCUGGCCAGUCCAGGAUGCGGAGAGUCCACGCUGUAAAAAAUGGGGACUUCCUGGCAGGGCUGGGAGCUUGUAUCGGAGCUGUCCAAUCAGUGUAUUUACACGGGUUGUUAGCGACAGUUAAUGAGGGCUCCUCCCCGGGCCGGUAGAGAAAGGCGCCUCAACAUUAAGAUUUACCUUGUGUCAACUCGUUACUUCUAAUGAACCUCCCUGCAAAAGCCUCCUCGUACUCAAUGGAGCCGUGCGCCCGGAUCUUGUGUGUGAGACUCUGGAAGAGUGGAGCUGCAAGCUGGCCUCCCUCUCCCCCAUCCCAUUUUCUUCCGUUCACUCAGGAGAGGUGCUUUUUCUCUCCAGGUCCGGGUCUGUGAUGCAUGCCUGCAUGCCAUGUGCGUGCGUGUGUGCACGCGAACAUGUGUGUUGAAUGAGGUGCGUGAUGUCCAUUUUUCUUAAAAUUUCGCUUAAAUUUCGCACAGCACUUUCUAUUAUUGCGCUGCAGAUUAACACAUUGUAAUGCAGACCUUCAGAGUCACUUGCCUUGAAAUUGAAAUUUAAUAGAAAAAGGUGUCUAAUCACCAAAACUACGAUCAUGUUCGAGACUUAGGGAACAGGGGUGUGUCAGGGCCACGCAAACGCAAAUCAAACCACACACUUGAAACAUCUUUCAUUGUUUGAUUAACAAGGCUUGAUAUAUCAGCUUUACAGAAGUUUAUUAAUAAUCAACCUUCAUCCCUUACUAGAGCACUGACCAUAGAUCGGACUCUGGGCCCCUCUGCUCACCCCUUCGUCUGCCCCCCAAUGUGGCUUGUUGAGCCGCAUCAGCAACACAUCACUGCCCCUCAAUUCAGGUACAAACUGGAGGAGUUUGGCAGAUCCCUAAAGUGGACACUCCUCCUACGCUUCUAAACCACAGAGACACCACUUAAAAAUCAAUUAGGCUCAUGUAGGCUUUCUUUCCGCAAGUGAUCGUUCCGAAAACAGGUGGCUCCCAUCGAAUUUCAUGAAGGAUUUUAAACAGAAAAAUACAAAAUCACUUUUCAGUUUCAACUCAAUAAUUUUAGUGGCUCCUACUCACUUCAAUGACAGAAGGCUGUCGUUGCGCCAUACGUCUCAACGUGCAAUUUGAUAAAUCAAACUUUCCCUCUUCACUAUUUCCUUAUCCAAACAGCAAAUAUCAUCCUCUUAUUUACAGGAGCUGAAAAGUAGAAAGCUGUUCCACAGUAUGUUAUCGCUCGAGAAAAGGAUUCAUCAAUAAAUCUACAUCCGCCAGCAGGUGACAAAGUGGCACAGUCCCAGCUGCUGGCACCUUGUUACGCAAAGUUUGGUUUCCUUAUCCUUUAUAGAAAACAAAAUAAGUAAAUAAAUAUAUUUUAAGAAACAAAAUAUAAGAAUAAUUUGGCCUUCUGUAAAAUCUAUUAUUUCACAUAACUCCAAGUUAAAUGCCCAUCUUUUCAUUUUAACGUCACAGUCGUCUGUGACACGGAGCAGCAGCGCCGGGGGAAGCCGCGUGCUCACUCUUCCAGGUAUAUUGACUAAUUUAGAUAAGGAGAUGCAGAAAGAAGCACAUAAAAUUGGUGCAUAUCUGAUGUAUUUCCCCAAGCUAUGACGCUCGUCUUUCAAGCUCUAUUCUUUCUAAAAAAAAUAAAAAAAAUAAAAAUAAACACAUUGAGAGGGAAAAAAACAACUUUUAUAAAACUUUAAUUUCAACUUUCAGCCCCCGAAGAAUGGUUGUGCAUCAGUCAGUUGAAGUUGGAUGUGUAAAAUAUCCACUGAAUUCUGCUGGAUGGAGAACCAGCACAAAGGCCAGAGUCACACCAACACCACCCCCAAAAAACAUGGCUGUUUUGGCUUUGGAGGCUGAUUAAGCGCCCGGGUUCUUACGCGCAGAUGGGGACUGUGGAGAUGGUCAUUUAGCCCGGUGUCACAGGAGCAGACAAGCUGUAAUUACUGUAGCUGGCAUAUUGCUCUCAAAGCUUGUUAAUGUGGGAGAUUCUCGUACCACAGACAGCAUGCAUACAGUCGAGGCUACUCAACUCUCUGGCCACAGAGUCCCUUUUAACCCAAGCUCAGACACUCAUGGGCUGGCCACACGCUCCACAGCUGACCCUUUCCAUUUUAACAUUUCAGUAGUGAAACACCCUCCUAUUUAUGAGCUAGUGAUAUCGUGGAAGGGAUCACGAGGCUGUUUGUGAGUGAAAAACAUCACACACUGCAAUACACACAAAUACUACAGUAAAUCAGUAUUGAAAAGGAACGAAGUAGAUUUAUUUAGGCACUUACUCUCAACCCUGAUUUUGUAGUAUAUGUAUAUUUACUGAUCUAUUUGAGCUAGUCUUUCAAAUUUAUUCUAGUUUCUUUUAUUUACUUGACAACAAUGUGAUUAUCUUUGUGCAAGGGUAUCAUGCUAUUGUACCUUAGCUUCUUUCCGCUUUUGAAUCAUGCAUUUUAACAAUAGAGAUAGUACAUGGGGAUCUGAUAAGUGACUAGUACCCCAUUUACUCAUACAUUUACCAAGUUUUAGGUAGUUGGAGCAUAUUUUGCCCAAGUACUUCUAAUUUAGCUGUUUCGCAGAUUAUCAUUACAACAUUUCAAAGGUAGGCCUAAAUAUAAAUCUUUAUUCAGGGUUCCCUGCCAAACAUUCACAGAAUGCUUAACAUGCUAUCCUUUCUGGUAUUUUAUAACAUAAGAGUGAAAUGGGCCGUGCUGUCAGUCAUUUUACAUUUAAUACUUUGAAUAAUUUAUAAUCUCAAGUUUAAAUAUGCAAAUGCAGUCCACUUAACGGUAUGUAUAGGAAUAAUAAGCAUAAAUAGAUCUCACAUGGCCAUUAUAACAAUUUGGUGCCAGACUUUUUUUGGUGCCAGGGAGGUGAUCCAGCCCCCAGACUUGUGUUAACACUCAGUAGCAGCUUGUCAUACCCAUUUUACUCUUGUCAUGACGAGCAGCACUAAAGCUUCUUGACAGAUAAAUAGUUUCACCAAGUCUUCUUGUGUCUAAUUAAAUAACCUGAUUGAUAAAUAGAUCAAAUGCUUCCUUUCCCCUCCCUGUAAAUGUAUGUCUGCAGUGUUAUGAUCCUGCAGUUUUCUCAUAUUUUGAUUUGAGUUGUGUUUGCAUAACAACCUUGCCUCCUCCUUGUCCCUCUUGUCCUUGACUGCAACUGUUGACAUAACUCCACUCAAUUUCCCGUUUAUCCCCCAAGUCAAGUUGAAGACAGACAUGAAGUGUAAAAAAGGUGGGCCAUGUCAUAUCAGCUCAGUGUGUAUGGGAUUGUUGGCCUGAGCGGCUGUGAUCAUUGUUCAGGAGAACAAUUCAUGCCCGUCACAGACAGGAAGACUGAAAAAGUGGAAGCACUGUUGAAAACUUAGGCUUGUUGGACAAUUUUCUCAUGCUUUUUCUCAAUAGCAGUGACAGAAAGGGUUUAUCAUGAGCAUAUAUGCUGAUGUCUAAAGGCCACAAUCAGCUUAACAAAGUGCUUUCAAUUUUAGACAGCCCUUCAUUAAAAUUCUGCUGCCAACAAUAACAUUUAAGAUGCUGAACUUCGAAGAGAAUUUGUGAAAUGAGCCUGCAGACAUUGUUCUCUUCUUCCUGAAACAUUUAAAAGAUAUUAAUAUUCAUGACACAUAGCUACUUUAAUAAGCUACAAAACAAUUUUAUUUUCACAACCUUGUGGAAGUUCAUUUGGAAGGUUAUGAGAGCCCUAAAAAGUCUGAGACAUUUUAAAACCUGAGGUUAAGAUACUACCUUUCAGUAGACCAGGAUAUGCUAUGCUAGGAUUUUUUUUAGUCAAAGCUUCUAUCAAAAAAGUCCAUUCGUUUAAAACAUUUCUAUAUUUGGAUACCUUAUAAAGGCUAUUUAUUGUAUCCUUUAGGGAUUUAAGUUUAAUGUAACCUCUGGAGAAAUCGUUUCUGAUUUUUCAAGAGUUAAUUUGUGUUUGAAACCCAGUCUGUAUUAAAAUAUAUCACGUCACUAUUUUAAUGAUUGAUCUGCCUGAAUGCUUUUCUAGCUUCUCUAAUUAAUUGGUUACUAAGCAACAGAUGGACGAGUGUGACCAAUUGUAUAUGUUGUCUCAGGUGUGAAUUUGGUGAGUACUUCAGCGGGUUUGACUCGGCAGCCAAUCAGAGGUGAGGACCGGAACUGCCAUAGAACUGGAUAUUAUAGUAUUUGUAGCUUACAGGAACGCUGGGAAGCGUCGGUCGAGAAGCCGGUUAGCUUACUCACGGCUGAACAGCCCCGUCUAGUCUGAUUUAUGUCUGAAUCUCCGUUUGGCUCGCUUGAUCAAUAGCUAAUGUCCAAGAGAACAUGGACAGGUCAGCAGGAGUGUGACCCACGAAGAAGGGCGACAUAAAACCACUUGAUAUGCUUAUUAUUAUUAUUAUCAUUAUCAUUAUUAUUAUUAUUAUUAUUAUUAUUAUUAUUAUUAUUAU